rnacentral:rRNA from 1 species
GACGAACGCUGGCGGCAGGCCUAACACAUGCAAGUCGAACGCUGUAGCAAUACAGAGUGGCAGACGGGUGAGUAACGCGUGGGAACAUGCCCUUCGGUUCGGAAUAACUCAGGGAGACUUGAGCUAAUACCGGAUACGCCCUUAGGGGGAAAGAUUUAUUGCCGAAGGAUUGGCCCGCGUCCGAUUAGCUAGUUGGUGAGGUAAUGGCUCACCAAGGCGACGAUCGGUAGCUGGUCUGAGAGGAUGAUCGGCCACACUGGGACUGAGACACGGCCCAGACUCCUACGGGAGGCAGCAGUGGGGAAUAUUGGACAAUGGGCGCAAGCCUGAUCCAGCCAUGCCGCGUGAGUGAUGAAGGCCCUAGGGUUGUAAAGCUCUUUCGCCAGGGACGAUAAUGACGGUACCUGGAUAAGAAGCCCCGGCUAACUUCGUGCCAGCAGCCGCAGUAACAC